UGCAUCAGGUACACGCCGCGUGAGGGAGGAGGCCUGUGGGUUGUAAACCUCUUUUCUCUGGGAAGAAGACCUGACGGUACCAGAGGAAUAAGCAUCGGCUAACUCCGUGCCAGCAGCCGCGGUAAGACGGAGGAUGCAAGCGUUAUCCGGAAUUAUUGGGCGUAAAGCGUCCGCAGGCGGCCAAUUAAGUCUGCUGUUAAAGCCUGGGGCUUAACCCCAGAUCGGCAGUGGAAACUGGUUGGCUAGAGUACGGCAGGGGUAGAGGGAAUUCCCAGUGUAGCGGUGAAAUGCGUAGAUAUUGGGAAGAACACCAGUGGCGAAGGCGCUCUACUGGGCCGAAACUGACGCUGAGGGACGAAAGCUAGGGGAGCGAAAGGGAUUAGAUACCCCUGUAGUCAA
rnacentral:rRNA from 1 species